UACGUAGGUGGCAAGCGUUGUUCGGAAUUAUUGGGCGUAAAGGGCGCGUAGGCGGUUCGUUAAGUCGGUCGUGAAAGCCCGGGGCUCAACCCCGGAGGGUCGACCGAUACUGGCAGACUAGAGUACAGAAGAGGUAACUGGAAUUCCCGGUGUAGCGGUGAAAUGCGUAGAUAUCAGGAGGAACACCAAUGGCGAAGGCAGCACUCUGGGACGGUACUGACGCUGAGACGCGAAAGCGUGGGGAGCAAACAGG
rnacentral:rRNA from 1 species